rnacentral:tRNA from 1 species
UGACUUUAUGAAUAUUGUUUUGAAAGCAGUAGAUAAGAAUGAUUCUUUAAAGUCAG